GAUGAACGCUGGCGGCGUGCCUUAUACAUGCAAGUCGAGCGAACAGACGAGGAGCUUGCUCCUCUGACGUUAGCGGCGGACGGGUGAGUAACACGUGGAUAACCUACCUAUAAGACUGGGAUAACUUCGGGAAACCGGAUCUAAUACCGGAUAAUAUAUUGAACCGCAUGGUUCAAUGGUGAAAGACGGUUUUGCUGUCCCUUAUAGAUGGUUCCGGGCCGCAUUAGCUAGUUGGUAAGGUAACGGCCUACCAAGGCAACGAUGCGUAGCCGACCUGAGAGGGUGAUCGGCCACACUGGAACUGAGACACGGUCCAGACUCCUACGGGAGGCAGCAGUAGGGAAUCUUCCGCAAUGGGCGAAAGCUUGACGGAGCCACGCCGCGUGAGUGAUGUAGGUCUUCGGAUUGUAAAGCUCUGUUAUUAGGGAAGAAGAAAUGUGUAAGUAUCUAUGCACGUCUUGACGGUACCUAAUGAGAAAGCCACGGCUAACUACGUG
rnacentral:rRNA from 1 species